rnacentral:rRNA from 1 species
GAUGAACGCUGGCGGCGUGCCUCAAACAUGCAAGUCGAGCGAGGCUAUGAAUUACCGCAAGGUAAGGCAUAGCCUAGCGGCGAACGGGUGAGUAACACGUGGGUAACCUACCUGGAAGACAGGGAUAACGAUUCGAAAGGGUCGCUAAUACCUGAUAAUAUCCAUCUGCCGGAUGGCGGAGGGAAGAAAGGGGAAACCCGCUUUCAGAUGGGCCCGCGUCCCAUCAGCUAGUUGGUAAGGUAAAGGCUUACCAAGGCGACGACGGGUAGCCGGUCUGAGAGGAUGUACGGCCACACUGGGACUGAGAUACGGCCCAGACUCCUACGGGAGGCAGCAGUUGGGAAUCUUAGGCAAUGGACGAAAGUCUGACCUAGCGACGCCGCGUGAGGGAAGAAGGCCUUCGGGUUGUAAACCUCUGUCAUGGGGAAGAAGGAAGUGACGGUACCCAAGAGGAAGCCCCUGCUAACUACGUG